rnacentral:lncRNA from 1 species
GGGAAGCAAUGAUUCGUUAUAAAUCCGGAAGUUCAUUGCUAGAUAGGGUGAGGGCGAAAGCUGUCAUAAAAAGCUGAUCAGUGAGUGCUUCCCUACAUCUCUAUGAUAUGACGCAAGGCGAACGUAGACAUACGUCUUCAACGCGAUACCAUAGAGCGUAAUUUAGGUUGAUAAUAGAGCGUCUUGAGCGUGGUCGCUUAUGAUUCGUUACCGUAACGUCACGUCAGUUGACGGCCUUGGAACAGAGCGUAAGGAGGAACUUCCGUGCUGGGGCUUUCUUUGCACUCUUGGAGGCCUAUCAGUCUUGGAGGAACACUGCAUGUUAACUCUGUGCAAUAUUUUUAAUUUAAUGCUUGAAAGUAUUGCUGGCUUGACAAUUGCAGAGGACUUAAUACAUCCUAUUAAGUAGAGGUGAGUUCCAAAUGUCCCAUUAUUUCGACAUGAUGGAAUGGAGCUGUCAAAAUCGGGUUCAAUGCUUUUCAAUGGGGGAAAAAAUUCACCAAAAAUUAAUGAAGAGUCAGAACAAAGCCAAAUUAAGUUUGCACACGUUUUAGAAGGUGCUCUAACCAAUCCAAGCAUUUAAAACCGUUUUUAACCUUUUAAGACACUUUAAAAAUAGCGAAAAUGGCACAUCGCUAAGCGAAACAGGGGACCUAAAACUGUCAUCGCUAAGUGAGGCAAGGUCCCGAACAUCGCUAUGCGAAUUUUCCCCAUAGGGAACAUCGUUAAACGGAGCACAAAAUCACUCCAGAAACCUCAUCGCUAAGCAAAUACAUCGUUAAAUGAGGCAAUCGCUAAGCGAGGCACCACUGUAUUUAUUUAUUUAAAGUCAUUUCCCAAACUAUACGAGGUUAUGGAUGAUGUUUCUGUUUUUCUUGCUGAAGAAACCACAUGAACUAGACUAGGCUGAAAGAUGGUGAAUUUAUGCUGUCAAGCAAAGGCUGGGACUCAUUCUUGUCUGCAGUCUCUAAGCUGGGCAAUUGUCACAUUAACCAGCACUUACUGUCUCAAUGCUUUGAGACAUCAGUAAGAGAAAGAAUAAAAAGGUUUCAUUUACUCGUAGUUCUGAACA